rnacentral:rRNA from 1 species
AGAGUUUGAUCAUGGCUCAGAUUGAACGCUGGCGGCAGGCCUAACACAUGCAAGUCGAACGGUAACAGGAAACAGCUUGCUGUUUCGCUGACGAGUGGCGGACGGGUGAGUAAUGUCUGGGAGACUGCCUGAUGGAGGGGGAUAACUACUGGAAACGGUAGCUAAUACCGCAUAACGUCGCAAGACCAAAGAGGGGGACCUUCGGGCCUCUUGCCAUCAGAUGUGCCCAGAUGGGAUUAGCUAGUAGGUGGGGUAACGGCUCACCUAGGCGACGAUCCCUAGCUGGUCUGAGAGGAUGACCAGCCACACUGGAACUGAGACACGGUCCAGACUCCUACGGGAGGCAGCAGUGGGGAAUAUUGCACAAUGGGCGCAAGCCUGAUGCAGCCAUGCCGCGUGUAUGAAGAAGGCCUUCGGGUUGUAAAGUACUUUCAGCGGGGAGGAAGGGAGUAAAGUUAGUACCUUUGCUCAUUGACGUUACCCGCAGAAGAAGCACCGGCUAACUCCGUGCCAGCAGCCGCGGUAAUACGGAGGGUGCAAGCGUUAAUCGGAAUUACUGGGCGUAAAGCGCACGCAGGCGGUUUGUUAAGUCAGAUGUGAAAUCCCCGGGCUCAACCUGGGAACUGCAUCUGAUACUGGCAAGCUUGAGUCUCGUAGAGGGGGGUAGAAUUCCAGGUGUAGCGGUGAAAUGCGUAGAGAUCUGGAGGAAUACCGGUGGCGAAGGCGGCCCCCUGGACGAAGACUGACGCUCAGGUGCGAAAGCGUGGGGAGCAAACAGGAUUAGAUACCCUGGUAGUCCACGCCGUAAACGAUGUCGACUUGGAGGUUGUGCCCUUGAGGCGUGGCUUCCGGAGCUAACGCGUUAAGUCGACCGCCUGGGGAGUACGGCCGCAAGGUUAAAACUCAAAUGAAUUGACGGGGGCCCGCACAAGCGGUGGAGCAUGUGGUUUAAUUCGAUGCAACGCGAAGAACCUUACCUGGUCUUGACAUCCACGGAAGUUUUCAGAGAUGAGAAUGUGCCUUCGGGAACCGUGAGACAGGUGCUGCAUGGCUGUCGUCAGCUCGUGUUGUGAAAUGUUGGGUUAAGUCCCGCAACGAGCGCAACCCUUAUCCUUUGUUGCCAGCGGUCCGGCCGGGAACUCAAAGGAGACUGCCAGUGAUAAACUGGAGGAAGGUGGGGAUGACGUCAAGUCAUCAUGGCCCUUACGACCAGGGCUACACACGUGCUACAAUGGCGCAUACAAAGAGAAGCGACCUCGCGAGAGCAAGCGGACCUCAUAAAGUGCGUCGUAGUCCGGAUUGGAGUCUGCAACUCGACUCCAUGAAGUCGGAAUCGCUAGUAAUCGUGGAUCAGAAUGCCACGGUGAAUACGUUCCCGGGCCUUGUACACACCGCCCGUCACACCAUGGGAGUGGGUUGCAAAAGAAGUAGGUAGCUUAACCUUCGGGAGGGCGCUUACCACUUUGUGAUUCAUGACUGGGGUGAAGUCGUAACAAGGUAACCGUAGGGGAACCUGCGGUUG